rnacentral:rRNA from 1 species
GACGAACGCUGGCGGCGUGCUUAACACAUGCAAGUCGAACGGUGAAGCGCCUUCCUUUUUGGUGGGUGUGGAUGAGUGGCGAACGGGUGAGUAACACGUGAGUAACCUGCCCCCUUCUUCUGGAUAACCGCAUGAAAGUGUGGCUAAUACGGGAUAUUCUGGGUCUGUCGCAUGAUGGGUCUGGGAAAGAUAUUGUUUCGGUGGGGGAUGGGCUCGCGGCCUAUCAGCUUGUUGGUGGGGUGAUGGCCUACCAAGGCGGUGACGGGUAGCCGGCCUGAGAAGGUGGACGGUCACACUGGGACUGAGACACGGCCCAGACUCCUACGGGAGGCAGCAGUGGGGAAUAUUGCACGAUGGGCGCAAGCCUGAUGCAGCGACGCCGCGUGAGGGAUGGAGGCCUUCGGGUUGUGAACCUCUUUCGCCAGUGAAGCAGGCCUGCCUCGUUUGUGGGUGGGUUGACGGUAGCUGGAUAAGAAGCGCCGGCUAACUACGUG